AUUGAACGCUGGCGGCAGGCUUAACACAUGCAAGUCGAGCGGGGUGAUGGUGCUUGCACUAUCACUUAGCGGCGGACGGGUGAGUAAUGCUUAGGAAUCUGCCUAUUAGUGGGGGACAACAUCUCGAAAGGGAUGCUAAUACCGCAUACGUCCUACGGGAGAAAGCAGGGGAUCACUUGUGACCUUGCGCUAAUAGAUGAGCCUAAGUCGGAUUAGCUAGUUGGGGGGGUAAAGGCCUACCAAGGCGACGAUCUGUAGCGGGUCGGAGAGGAUGAGCCGGCCAACUGGGACUGAGACACGGCCCAGACUCCUACGGGAGGCAGCAGUGGGGAAUAUUGGACAAUGGGGGGAACCCUGAUCCAGCCAUGCCGCGUGUGUGAAGAAGGCCUUAUGGUUGUAAAGCACUUUAAGCGAGGAGGAGGCUCUUUUGGUUAAUACCCAAGAUGAGUGGACGUUACUCGCAGAAUAAGCACCGGCUAACUCUGUGCCAGCCGCCGCGGUAA
rnacentral:rRNA from 1 species